AACGAACGCUGGCGGCAGGCUUAACACAUGUAAGUCGAGCGCCCCGCAAGGGGAGCGGCAGACGGGUGAGUAACGCGUGGGAAUCUACCCAUCUCUACGGAAUAACGCAUGGAAACGUGUGCUAAUACCGUAUACGUCCAUCGGGAGAAAGAUUUAUCGGAGAUGGAUGAGCCCGCGUUGGAUUAGCUAGUUGGUGGGGUAAAGGCCUACCAAGGCGACGAUCCAUAGCUGGUCUGAGAGGAUGAUCAGCCACACUGGGACUGAGACACGGCCCAGACUCCUACGGGAGGCAGCAGUGGGGAAUAUUGGACAAUGGGCGCAAGCCUGAUCCAGCCAUGCCGCGUGAGUGAUGAAGGCCCUAGGGUUGUAAAGCUCUUUCACCGGUGAAGAUAAUGACGGUAACCGGAGAAGAAGCCCCGGCUAACUUCGUGCCAGCCGCCGCCGUAAAAC
rnacentral:rRNA from 1 species